UACACAUGCAGUCGAGGGGUAUUGGUUUUCGGACCAAGAGACCGGCGCACGGGUGCGUAACGCGUAUGCAAUCUACCUUUCACAGAGGGAUAGCCCAGAGAAAUUUGGAUUAAUACCUCAUAGUAUAUAGGAAUGGCAUCAUUUUUAUAUUAAAGUCACAACGGUGAAAGAUGAGCAUGCGUCCCAUUAGCUUGUUGGUAAGGUAACGGCUUACCAAGGCUACGAUGGGUAGGGGUCCUGAGAGGGAGAUCCCCCACACUGGUACUGAGACACGGACCAGACUCCUACGGGAGGCAGCAGUGAGGAAUAUUGGACAAUGGGCGCAAGCCUGAUCCAGCCAUGCCGCGUGCAGGAUGACGGUCCUAUGGAUUGUAAACUGCUUUUGCACAGGAAGAAACAACAUUACGUGUAAUGUCUUGACGGUACUGUGAGAAUAAGGAUCGGCUAACUCCGUGCCAGCAGCCGCGGUAAUACGGAGGAUCCAAGCGUUAUCCGGAAUCAUUGGGUUUAAAGGGUCCGUAGGCGGUCUUAUAAGUCAGUGGUGAAAUCUCCCCGCUCAACGGGGAAACGGCCAUUGAUACUGUAAGACUUGAAUUAUUAGGAAGUAACUAGAAUAUGUAGUGUAGCGGUGAAAUGCUUAGAGAUUACAUGGAAUACCAAUUGCGAAGGCAGGUUACUACUAAUGGAUUGACGCUGAUGGACGAAAGCGUGGGUAGCGAACAGGAUUAGAUACCCUGGUAGUCCACGCCG
rnacentral:rRNA from 1 species